GCUUUUAGACGUCAAUUUCUCUUCUAUUCGUUGUGAAUGGAUUUUGGUUUCACCCAGGAUCGAUGUUCUUUAACGUCGGCUGUCCAUUCUGAAGUCAAACAAGAAUGUUGGAGUUUAGACUAACAUCAAAUAUAAAAAAUAACAUGUCAAAACUCGUUUUUAUAUUAGUGAUUGAAUUUUCAAAGUAUGCUUUUGCAUAGUACCUAUUUUAAAAAUAAAUAAACAAAUAAAUAAAUGACACUUUCACACACAUAAAUUUUUUAUAUUUAUUUUACAUUAUUAUUUUUUUAAAUACAAAUAUGACUAUUUUAUCUUGUUAGGUGUGUUAAAAUGAAUGUAAACUGUUUUCGUCCUACCAUACUCUAUUAAAUAUGAUGGAAAAAAAUAUUCAUUGAUGGAAAACAGCUGUGUAAAUUUGGGUUGACGGGAAGACUUUAAAUUUAUAGGUUGACUAUUAUGAUCUUCGAACAAAAUGACCUUCUGCACUGCAUUAUUCAAUGGAUUGUGAUUCACUCUCAAUUUACUCAUUUCCGUUCAUCUGCAUAUUCCCUUUUUCUGUAUCCAUCUUCCAUUAAAUAGUUUUUCAUCUAGAUUAUCUCAGCACUAACUCAUUCCCAUUCAUCCACCCCAUUUUCUACCAUGGCUGUUCAAUUGAUUAUCGAUGCUGCUCUGUCCAAAUUCUUUGAGAAGACUUUUGACAAUUUAUUUUCUCGUUUUGGAGACAUAUUUCGUGGAGACAAAAGUAAAAAGAAACAGAUAAGCAACUUGAAGGGGAAGCUCCUGGCCAUUGAUGUUGUGGCUGAUGAUGCAGAGCAGAAACAGUUCACAAAUCCACGUGUGAGAGAUUGGCUUCUCGCAGCCAAAGAUGCCGUGUAUGAUGCAGAGGAUCUCCUGGAGGAAAUAGAUCAUGAUGCUAAAGAGGUUUGGAAUCCCCUCACUUCUUUUAUCAGUUUCUUUGAAAAUAAAUUUAAGACAAGGAUGGAACAACUCAUUGAAGACCUAGAAGAUCUUGCUUCACAAAGCCGUGUUCUAGGUUUGAAAAAGGCUGAUGAUGUUGGGGUCUCAGGAUGGGUCAGUAAAUUACGAUCAACAUAUUUGCCAAAUGAAAGUGUUAUAUAUGGCAGAGAUGAUGACAAAAAAUUUGUGUUUGAGUGGCUCACAUCUAACACUCACAACAACCUGUCUAUACUUUCUAUUGUGGGAAUGCCUGGGGUGGGUAAAACCACUCUUGCCCAACAUUUAUUUAAUGACCCAAGGAUGGAUAAGAAUAAAUUUGAUGUCAAAGUUUGGGUCUGUGUUUCAGAUGAAUUUGAUGUUUUCAAGGUAUCAAGAGCAAUUCUUGAGGAUGUUACGGGAUCACGUGAUGAUAGCAGAGAUACAGAAAUGGUUCACAAAAGAUUGAAAGAAAAAUUUACGAAGAAAAAAUUUCUUCUUGUUUUGGAUGACGUUUGGAAUGAAAAUCAAUCUAAAUGGGAAGAGGUGCAAAAGCCUCUUGUUUUCGGAGCCCAAGGGAGUAAGAUUCUUGUCACUACACGUAAUAAGGAAGUUGCUACUAUCAUGCAGUCAGAGGAACACUACCUAGAACAACUAGAGUACAAGCAUAGCUGGAGAUUGUUUGCUAAACAUGCAUUCCGAAAUGAUGAUACUGAACCAAAUCCAGAGUACAAGGACAUUGACGUCAAGAUUGUUAAAAAAUGUAAAGGAUUACCUCUUGCCUUGAAAACCAUGGGUAGUCUAUUAUACAACAAAUCAUCUGUUUCAGAAUGGGAAACUGUGUUUCAAAGCGAAAUAUGGAAAUUUUCACAAGAGCGUUGUGAUAUUGUUCCCGCAUUAGCAUUGAGCUAUAUCCACCUUCCAUCUCAUUUGAAGGUCUGCUUUGCUUACUGUGCACUAUUCCCUAAGGAUUAUGAGUUUAGAAAAGAGGAUUUGAUUCACUUGUGGAUAACUGAAAAUUUCUUACACAGUCAUCAACAUAGUAAGACUCCCGAAGAAGCUUGUCAACAAUACUUCAAUGAUUUAAAAUCAAGGUCCCUCUUUCAACAAUCAGGUGAAAAGAAAGAAGUAUUUGUCAUGCAUGACCUUCUAAAUGAUUUGGCAAAAUAUGUUGCUGGAGGCAUAUAUUUCAGAUGCAAAAUUGAUCAAACAAAAAAAAUACAAGAAGUAACUCGUCAUUUUUCAUUUGAACUUGAUUGCAACAGAGACUUUGAAGGGCUUGGAACUUUAUAUAAAACACAAAGGUUACGUACAUUUAUGCCAACAGGUAAGAGCAUGGAUCAACUUCCCUAUCAUUGGCAUUGCAAAAUGUCGAUACCUGAAUUGUUCACCAUGUUUAACUUCUUGCGUGUCUUAUCCCUCUCUCAUUGUUCUGACCUUAAAGAGGUACCUGACUGUGUCGGCAAUCUUAAAUAUCUUUGUUCGUUAGAUCUCUCUCGUACUGCCAUAAAAAAAUUAUGUGAAAGCAUAUGUUCACUCUCGUACUUACAAAUACUAAAGUUGAACUAUUGUAGAUAUUUAGAAGAGUUACCCUCAAAUUUGAAUUCGCUUACCACUUUGUGUCGCCUUGAAUUUAUAGAGACUAAAGUGAUAAAGGUGCCAAAUUUGAAAGAGUUGAAGAAUCUUAAAGUAAUGAUGAGUUCCUUUAAAGUUGGCUGUAGUAGCGAGUUGGGUAUUCAACGGUUAGGAGAGCUCAACAACCUUCAUGAAAGCCUAUCAAUUGACGAGUUGGAGAAAAUUGAGAAACCCCGGGAUGCAUCAGAUGCAAAUUUGAAGAAUAAUACACACCUUAUGAAGCUAGAGUUGAAAUGGAAUUCAAAGAGGGAAGAGAACUCUAUUGAUUCAAAAAAAGAAGAGGAUGUAAUUGACAAGUUGCAACCUUCCAAAAACUUAAAGGAGUUAUCAAUCUUUAGCUAUGGAGGCACACAAUUUCCAGAUUGGUUACUAGAAGAUUCAUUGUGGGAGAUGGUGUCCUUAGCGUUGAAGGAAUGUAAAUCUUGCCAAAGUUUACCUCCACUUGGACUUUGGAAAUAUCUAAAGGAUUUGAAGAUUGCAGGACUUGACGGGAUAGUGAGUAUUGAUGCUGAUUUUUAUGGGAACAACUCUUCUUCUUUUAAUUCCCUUGAAAAUUUAGAGAUCUCUGAUAUGAAACAAUUGGAAAAAUGGGAAUGUAAAGCUGUGAGAGGUGCUUUCCCAAGUCUAAAACGUCUUUCAAUAAGUAAUUGUCCCAAGCUGGAAGGAGAUCUGCCAGAGCAACUUGUUCCUUUAAAUGAUCUAAAGAUUUCUCAAUGUGAUCAAGCUUUAACUGUUACUGCUCUAAAAGUGCGAUGGCCUACAAUGAAACGUCUAAAAAUAGACGGGGACAACUUGGAAGCAUCAAUGGUGAAAAUUGUUUGGCACUUCACUUCUCUUGAAGUCUUAGACAUUAAUUCACACUCGAAGGCAAACAGUGAUGAAUCUGUCUCUCCGUGGACCUUUCCUCUACAUUUCUUCCCAACAUUAAGUACGCUUAAUCUCAGAGGAUUUCUUAAUCUGCAGAUGAUCUCACAGGUUGACCGUCAUAAUCAUCUCAAGCAUCUGACAAUCGAAAAGUGCCCAAAAUUUGAAUCAUUGCCUGAAAGCAUGCAUACAAUGCUUCCAUCUCUCAUGAGGCUAAGCAUAUAUGAUUGUCAAAAACUUGAGUCGUUCCCUCACGGAGGUUUGCCACCAAAUCUAAAUUUCGUGAAACUCCAGAAUUGCUGCUCCACACUUAUUGGCUCGUUGAAAGGAGCUUUGGGAGCCAAUACCCUGAAAAGCUUGUGGAUUGGACUCGUGGAUGCAGAAUGUUUUCCUGUUGAAGGUUUGCUUCCCCUCUCUCUUACUUCUCUACACAUCUAUCGUUUUGAAAAUCUAAAAAAUUUGGACUACGAGGGUCUUCGUCAACUCUCCUCUCUAGAAAAGCUGAGUCUUCGUGAUUGCCCCAAUCUCGAACGCUUACCGGAGAAGGGUCUUCCCGAAUCAAUUUUACAAUUUUCAAUUUCGGGUAAAUGCUCUUUACUCAAACAUCGUUGUCAGGAAGGAGGGGAAGACUGGGAAAAGAUUGCACACAUCCAAAACCUCGAUGUGGGAAUGACGAGUGGCUGUCAACACUGAGUUAUCUACUAUUCGAUCAAACAUUCCUCUCUUGAAAUUCGUUUCCCAAAGUCCUACUAUAAAUUACGAUGACAUUGCUGGCUAGUUUUUGAUAUAUUGUUUGGUAAUUCCAAGAAUUUACUUCUAAAUACUCAAUUGUUCUUCAAUUUGGAAAUGCUUAAUAUCAGUUAGAACAUGUGAUUUUAGCUAUUUUGAAUUGUUUCAUAUUGUGGACGUCACAUUCUUGGUUCCUAUUAUUAAUAGAGGUUAUCCGAG
rnacentral:lncRNA from 1 species